rnacentral:tRNA from 1 species
GGACAGGUGGCUGAGCGGUUGAAGGCACUCGACUCGAAAUCGAGCGUGGAGGAAACUCCACCGUGGGUUCAAAUCCCACCCUGUCCG